rnacentral:rRNA from 1 species
UACAUGGGGUGCAAACGUUGCUCGGAAUUAUUGGGCGUAAAGCGCACGUAGGCGGUUUGUUAAGUCGGAUGUGAAAUCCCUCGGCUUAACUGAGGAAGUGCGCCCGAAACUGCCGUGCUUGAGUGCCGGAGAGGGUGGCGGAAUUCCCCAAGUAGAGGUGAAAUUCGUAGAUAUGGGGAGGAACACCGGUGGCGAAGGCGGCCACCUGGACGGUAACUGACGCUGAGACGCGAAAGCGUGGGGAGCAAACAGG